GGCAGAAUAGCUCAGUUGGAUAAGAGCAUCUCACAUGUAACAAGAAGGUCCUGGGUUUGAGUCCCGGUUCAGCCA